GUAGGAAAGCCUCAAUGGCUGCUCAUGAAUGUGGACUCUGUUUGGCCGCUGGCUGGGAUGCUGGCCCUGCGAACAGCCCAGAGACAGGACAGGCGCUGUUAGCAGUUAGCCAGGGGACGGAAUGUCCCCCAUCCUGCCUCUGGCUCUGGCCCACCGGCCAGGAGGGGUUGAGGGUGGGGAGUGUUAGGAGCAGCCCUGGGCACAGCUCCCUCGGCCGGGGCUGCUGAGUUCACACUCACUGCUCACUCAUCCCUCCACUCACCUGCCUAUCCACACCCUCGCGCCUGCUCGGCCGCUCUCCUCUCUGGGGAGCCCCUCUGCAGCCACUCUGGGGUUGUAAAGAGACUCCAGGCCAGCUCCCUUUCAGCAACAGUGUGAUUCUCAGAGACCACUUCACUCCUGGCAGGGCUGGGGGAAAUGGAAGUCCUUAGCUCUGAAGUAUACGAUUGCAGCCAGUCCCUGAGGACAGCAUCUGCCACCCCCACCAUGACCACUGGCAAAUGAUGAGCACGGGGAGGGAGUGGCCAAAGAAACAGGCCCUGAGCCACCUCAAGGCUACUUCACAGAGCCCCAUCCUCACGGAACCACCCACUGCCUUCCACCACGCUCUGUCCAGCCCCCAGCAUGUAGCAGGUCAGCUCCAUCAGAGAACGAGGCUGGCUCAUGGGGUUCAGUUGAGAGGCCUGGGACCUUAAAGCCACUUGGAGACAGGCUUGACCUGGAAGCGGCUGGUCUCUCGAGGAAUGCAGGGCUGUGGGCUGUGCUGGGGGCACCUAGGACAGGCUGGGCACUGAGAGGGCCUCAAGACACCUUUGUCCACCCGACCGGCAGAAGGGAACUAGACUUGCUCUUGGCAGAAUGGGCAGGGGCUGUCCACGACACUACCGCGUGCUGUGCUCACUUCCCAGCAUCAGCCCACUCUGACCAUCAGUUUCUGCAUCUAAGACUUGGGUUAACACGGAUCUCAGGACGUAAGGAUUAAACGUGAUAACACGUGGCACACUCCCUAUGCCCAGCAUGGCUCACGGCUGGGGAUGAAGCAGUUAACCGCCUCCGCUGCAGGAGCGGACUUGGCAGCUGAGCUGCCCCCCCGCCCCCGCCGGGGACCUGUCCCUCUGCCCUCGGCCCAGGGUGCAGGGACAAGGACUGGGUGGCCGCGGGAGUCCCCCGAGCCCCAUUGGCCUUCCCUUCCGGCCGCCGCCACGCGGGGCGCCGCGUCCCCACGGGUCUAGACGUCCAGCCAACUUCCCGGCUCUGCAAAAGCCUCUGGGGGUGCGCGGGGCUGGGCGGGGGUGCGGCGUGGUCUCCCCCAGGGUGGGCUCCAAAGCUCCCACCCCCGUCCGGGGCGCUGACACCGCCGACUCGCAAGCCUAUGCCGCGCUCGGAGCGCCGCGGGGCCAGCACGCCCGGGCGGGCGGCCCGGAGGAGGCGGCGGCACGGCUGGGGCACCCCCGGCUCCGAUCCGCGAUGAAUGGGGCGGCCCGGGCCCCGCUCCCCGCAGCCCCGCCCGGAGGUCCCGCUCCCCGAGCCCCUCGCUCCGCGGCCCUCGCCACCAGCCCACCCCAGAAUGGCAGGCCUUGCUGCUGAGACGGAAACGCUGCAUUCAGCACAACUUAAAAAACGUCUGCCAUAAUGCUACCCAUGUGGCUUCCAGUGGCUGCUCUAUCUCCAUCCCUGGCCUGCGCUCCAGCUCCCCAGGUGCCCACACAUGACACGCUUGUCCCUGUGCUUCUGUCUAGGAGGUGGGGGAUGUCCCGACUGGCACCUGGCACCUGCCUGGGCAAGUUCGGUUUGAGUGGCUCAAGUUGGCCCUCGAAGGCACCAUAAGGAGGUCCCCAUGGCACGCUUUCUCAUAGGUGGGAGCUAACAUUGCCCCCAGACCUUCGUGUCUCCACUCUGGGUCCCUUGUCCAGCCCUGGGACUGCCCCAGACUGGCCCGUGAGUUCGGCAGCAUUGCUGGUGGGGCGCUAGGAGCCAUCCAGGCCCCUAGAGAGGGAGAGGCCCUUACCGGUCAUUUGUCCAACAUCUCCAUUCACAGCCAAGGAAACCAAGGCCUGAAGAAGACAAGGAACCUGCCCAAGGCCACACGGCGGAGAUGGCUCCAGGCAGAGCCCCCUGGCCCAGUACGUGCCCGUCCCCGGCUGUCCCAGACAGGGGCGUGUGGGCCUCCUCCAAGGGCAGGGGUGCAGCGUUACGGGCAGCAUCUGGGGACGGAUCGCCCUCCCCCACUUCAGAGGAUCCCAAGUCAUGAACUUGGUGGACUUCUAAGAAAUAGGGUGGCAGUGGGGGGACUUCGCAGAAAGGAAUGCUUUCAGAAUUAGUCCUUCAGACAAAGGUCCCCCGGGAGCAGGUCAAGCACGCUUUACUUACGCAAGUUCAAGUUGCACACCCUUUUAAGGACACCUUUAUUAUGUAAAGCAAGGUGUGGCCUAACCACGGGCCUUCUGGUGGAGCCAAUGAGUGGGCCUGCCCCUCCCCCAAUCUGGUCUGCCUCCUGAAGCUGUUUUGGGACUCUGCGAACGGUAUAGAAUAAACUAAAAGGAACUGCACAUGGCAGUGGGGUUUCUGUGCUGGCAUCGCAGCACAUGGCAUUCCUGCCAGUGGACGCGAAAACGUGAAUUGAAAAAGGGGCAGGGGCUGAAAGGCCCCAGAGGCUCGAG
rnacentral:lncRNA from 1 species